ACCAGAAGUGGGUACGCUAACCCGAAAGGGAGGUAGCCCCCCCAAGGUGUGGUUCAUGACUGGGGUGAAGUCGUAACAAGGUAGCCGUAGGUGAACCUGCAGAAGGAUCA
rnacentral:rRNA from 1 species